GAUGAACGCUAGCGGCAGGCUUAAUACAUGCAAGGCGAAGGGGCAGCAAUGUCACUGUCGUACGGGUGCGUAACGCGUAUGCAACCUACCUAUCACUGGGGGGAUAGCCCGGGGAAACCCGGAUUAAUACCGCAUAACACAGGGGCUCCUCAUGGAGAUAUUUGUUAAAGAUUUAUCGGUGGUAGAUGGGCAUGCGUUCG
rnacentral:rRNA from 1 species